UUGGCCAAUAGGCGGCAGCAAUGCUGCAGCCGUGACCAAGAAGGGUGAGGGGGAUGGAAGCAACAGAAUGGAGCAGGAGCAGGAGUGCAGCUCAGGUGAGGGUAGGGAGAUCUCCGAGGUGAGGGGAGCAAUCAAGUACUAAUGCACAGAUGCUCUAGAGUGUGCAAGAGUUCCAGCAUUGAAGUGGAGAGAAAUAAUGGUGGUGGUCAGGAUGCAGAGGUGGAGGGCCGGCAGGUGAAGCCCCUCCGUCCAGAAGAGGCACUGAUCAGCACCCAGCUGGUGUUCAGCUUCAAUAGGACAAUACUUCUACUGCCAGCCAUCUUUUGUUGUUUGUUGGAUUCCCAUUUGCAGAUCUACUGUGCUGCCUAGCAGAUGAGAGCCAACUGCGAAAUGCUGUUUCUACCUUCACAGACAGGUCACAGGCUGUGCGACUGCUGAAAAUGAUGCCGUGAGGACUGUAUGGUGUUAGCAGAGAUGGGUUCAGAAGAAACCACUUGGAUCCAUAAUUCGUAACUGAUUGCCUGGUUACCAUGGGGCUGGAUCUAAAGCUGUCCUCCUGCUUACAGAAAGAGCCUUCUAUACAUGCACAACUCAACCUUUCGCACAAGCAGAAGCAUGAGAAUUGUUAUGGAACCUACCUACUUGUCAUGAUCCCAGAUCAAGGACUCCUCAGUUACGGGAAGAGGCAGCCAGAUGAAACAGGGUGGGAGAAAUCUGUGACCCUGAACCUGGCUGUUGCGACCACACCACACCAGGAGAACUGGGGGAACCUGAACGAGCAGCUCCAGCAUGACUUCAUCCUCUGUCUCAAUUAGCAGAGGCCCCCAGCAUCACUGGAGCUAGUGCCUAUGAAGUAGGGCAAGGCCCCUUUAGAAAACCCACAGUCCAAAGUCCUUUAUUAACCAUCAAAACAGCCACAAAGCAUUAAAAGACAAGCUUUCCAAAACUACAGAACCCUUCAUCAGAUGGUAAGCAAAUCUAGAGGGGGUGGGUGGGCAGCACUUAGCACUUCCAAGUAUCUGCAAUCCCAUGCACGUUUACAAGUGAAGGUAAAUGGGAUUUUCAAGGAGGAGCCUCACACAGGCUUCUAUGCAAACUCCGCCCACCCACUGAACAACUGAUUGUUGGGUGGGUGCAGGACAAGUGGAGCAGUUCAGCAGCAGCAGUAGCCUGUAGGCAAGCAGGGAAAGAGCCAUGGGGGACUGGAGCUCACACUGGCUGCCGCUGCCACCCACCACCCACCCAAAAUCCAUGGGAAAGAGCACCCUGGACAGGACAAGCACUUCUCCCUAAAAUGAUGAGAUGCCCCAGCCAAUCCGGGACUGUUGGCAACCCUACGGCUCCAACCAUGUACAUACAUACAUGCUUGCUGUGCUUUUCACACCUGGUCACUCGGGCCACGGCUGGGACAUGAGGAUUCAUAGAUGCAAAAGGGGGGCAGGAAAUUCUUGCCUUUGUAUUUUUAUUACUGUAAUUAUUGGAUAAUGGCUGUAGUCAAUACAUACUCAGAGUAAUUCACACAUGCAUAGAAUUGUUAUAGAUAACAAUAUCAUUGCCUUCCUGCCUCUGAAGUGACAGACUGCCAAAUCAACCAAACUUCUGGCGUAACAUGUUUUCUUUUACAUGUGUGCUUUUAAAGUAAACUUACUUAAGUAAGUUUGUUUAUUUAUAUCUAUGUAAACCACUUUGGGAACUUUUGUUGAAAAGCGGUAUAUAAAUAUUUUUCAUAUUUGUAAGGGGAAUGGGAUAACCUACUAGUUCUCUUCAGGAAGUGCUAUUCAGGGAGUUCCCUUCCUGUAAGAGAGAUUAAGAGGCUUGUGGUACCUCACCAUCCCUUUUGUUCCUGAUGAGGGACACAUGGCUACACUAAUGCUAGUUAGCAUCUAGAUUCUGAACUAUCCUUUUUGAAAUUUCAGAAUUGUUGCCUCCUGAUAAAAUGAUACUUACAUUGGGAAAUAAGUAAGAAUACCUUUGGUUUUUGUACUAUUCCCCCCGCACCACCCAAUAAUUUCAUAUUGAUUUUUAUUUGCCUCAUAACUCUGUUCCUAUUUGUUAUAAUAAAGCAAACUUUUUACUUGUU